rnacentral:rRNA from 1 species
CCUACGGGAGGCAGCAGUAAGGAAUAUUGGACAAUGGGGGCAACCCUGAUCCAGCCAUGCCGCGUGAAGGAUGAAGGCCCUAUGGGUCGUAAACUUCUUUUACAGGGGACAAAUAUCCAGUUCGUGAACUGGAUUGAUGGUACUCUGAGAAUAAGGGUUGGCUAACUUCGUGCCAGCAGCCGCGGUAAU